rnacentral:rRNA from 1 species
CCUACGGGAGGCAGCAGUGAGGAAUAUUGGUCAAUGGGCGGGAGCCUGAACCAGCCAAGUCGCGUGAAGGAAGAAGGUACUUAGUAUUGUAAACUUCUUUUGUCGGGGAACAAAGUCGGAGACGCGUCUCCGGAUGAGUGUACCCGAAGAAAAAGCAUCGGCUAACUCCGUGCCAGCAGCCGCGGUAAUACGGAGGAUGCGAGCGUUAUCCGGAUUUAUUGGGUUUAAAGGGUGCGCAGGCGGGAGAUCAAGUCAGCGGUAAAAGGUCGGGGCUCAACCCCGGCCGGCCGUUGAAACGGGUGUGCUAGAGUGGGAGAGAAGUAUGCGGAAUUCGUGGUGUAGCGGUGAAAUGCAUAGAUAGCACGAAGAACUCCGAUUGCGAAGGCAGCAUACCGGCUCCAGACUGACGCUGAGGCACGAAAGCGUGGGGAUCGAACAGGAUUAGAUACCCCGGUAGUC